UGGGGAAUAUUGCACAAUGGGCGAAAGCCUGAUGCAGCAACGCCGCGUGAGUGAUGAAGGCCUUCGGGUUGUAAAGCUCUGUCUUUUGGGACGAUAAUGAUGGUACCAAAGGAGGAAGCCACGGCUAACUACGUGCCAGCAGCCGCGGUAAUACGUAGGUGGCAAGCGUUGUCCGGAUUUACUGGGCGUAAAGGAUGCGUAGGCGGAUUUUUAAGUGAGAUGUGAAAACCCUAAGCUUAACUUGGGGACUGCAUUUCAUACUGGAAAUCUAGAGUGCGGGAGAGGAGAAUGGAAUUCCUAGUGUAGCGGUGAAAUGCGUAGAGAUUAGGAAGAACACCAGUGGCGAAGGCGAUUCUCUGGACCGUAACUGGCGCUGAGGCAUGAAAGCGUGGGUAGCAAACAGGAUUAGAUACCCUGGUAGUCCACGCCGUAAACGAUGAGUACUAGGUGUAGGAGGUAUCGACCCCUUCUGUGCCGCAGUUAACACAAUAAGUACUCCGCCUGGGAAGUACGAUCGCAAGAUUAAAACUCAAAGGAAUUGACGGGGUCAUAGC
rnacentral:rRNA from 1 species